UCAUCUUCUAUCUCUUCACUUUUCUUUGUAAUCCUCUUGUUCUUCUUCACCAUCAUUAUUUUCUUCUUUCUCCGAUCUCUCACCUCAUGUUUGUUUUCUCCGCUCUCUCCUGUUUCAUGCUCAUUUCCCUCAUCUUCUUGUUCAUUAUGUCCAUGUUUAUUUUCUACACCCUCUGCAAUAUUUUCAUCUUCCUUUUCAUUUCCCUCUUUUAUUAUAGACCCGCGGGUACCCACAAACCCGCGGGUAUUCUGAACUACCCGCAAAAUACUCGUUUUGCGAGUACCCGUACAGGUACGGGCGGGUACAGGUAGUGACCCCAGAUUUGGGCAUGGGUAGCGGGUAGCUACUACCCAUGCCCGCCCGUACCCGUUGUCAUCCCUAGCUCAUGGGGACAAAUGUGGUAGGAUUGCUAGUCAUGAUUAAAGCUUCUUAUAAUGGAAUAUACCAUAUAAAUAUAUGAGA
rnacentral:lncRNA from 1 species